GACGUGCUGACGCCAUGACGCCCCGGCCGGUGUGUGUCGGUGUGUGUGUGUGUGAGUGUGCGCGCUCCGAGUGUGUGUGUAUUUGUGUAUCGGCGGUCCCGCAGGUCCCGGAUGUUGCGGACAGUAUGAGGCGAGCGCAGGGGGACGGGGACCAGCAGCUGUCGCCGCCGCUCUCAGGGUGAAGAGGGAACAGAAAUCUUUGCCCCCUGACUUUGGAAAUCUCGUUUAACCUUCAAACUGGCGAUGUCAAGGGUUCCAAGUCCUCCACCUCCGGCAGAAAUGUCGAGUGGCCCCGUAGCUGAGAGUUGGUGCUACACACAAAUCAAGGUAGUGAAAUUCUCCUACAUGUGGACCAUCAAUAACUUUAGCUUUUGCCGGGAGGAAAUGGGUGAAGUCAUUAAAAGUUCUACAUUUUCAUCAGGAGCAAAUGAUAAACUGAAAUGAUUGGCAUCUCUAACACUGUUUAGAAGUCUGGCCUGGAAUUCUGUGCUGUGUGUUUGCGAGUAAACCCCAAAGGGCUAGAUGAAGAAAGCAAAGAUUACCUGUCACUUUACCUGUUACUGGUCAGCUG
rnacentral:sRNA from 1 species